rnacentral:rRNA from 1 species
CAGUACCGCGGGAAUACGUAGGUGGCAAGCGUUGUCCGGAAUUAUUGGGCGUAAAGCGCGCGCAGGUGGUUUAAUAAGUCUGAUGUGAGAGCCCACGGCUCAACCGUGGAGGGUCGUUGGGAACUGUUAAACUUGAGUGCAGGAGAGAAAAGUGGAAUUCCUAGUGUAGCGGUGAAAUGCGUAGAGAUUAGGAGGAACACCAGUGGCGAAGGCGGCUCUCUGGCUUGUAACUGACGCUGAGGCUCGAAAGCGUGGGGAGCAAACAGGAUUAGAGACCCCAGUAGUCCCUGUCUCUUAUACC